UAAUUUGAGAGUUUGAUCCUGGCUCAGGACGAACGCUGGCGGCGUGCCUAAUACAUGCAAGUCGAACGAACUCUGGUAUUGAUUGGUGCUUGCAUCAUGAUUUACAUUUGAGUGAGUGGCGAACUGGUGAGUAACACGUGGGAAACCUGCCCAGAAGCGGGGGAUAACACCUGGAAACAGAUGCUAAUACCGCAUAACAACUUGGACCGCAUGGUCCGAGUUUGAAAGAUGGCUUCGGCUAUCACUUUUGGAUGGUCCCGCGGCGUAUUAGCUAGAUGGUGGGGUAACGGCUCACCAUGGCAAUGAUACGUAGCCGAUCUGAGAGGGUAAUCGGCCACAUUGGGACUGAGACACGGCCCAAACUCCUACGGGAGGCAGCAGUAGGGAAUCUUCCACAAUGGACGAAAGUCUGAUGGAGCAACGCCGCGUGAGUGAAGAAGGGUUUCGGCUCGUAAAACUCUGUUGUUAAAGAAGAACAUAUCUGAGAGUAACUGUUCAGGUAUUGACGGUAUUUAACCAGAAAGCC
rnacentral:rRNA from 1 species